rnacentral:rRNA from 1 species
AUGGCUUCAUCACAGCAUGUUGAAGUGGAGGCUGCGAAGCUACUUCAAAAACUCAUUCUGGAAUCAAAGGAUGAGCCCGCUAAAUUAGCAACAAAACUUUACGUGAUAUGUCAACAUAUGAAGUUAAGUGGAAAAGAGCAGUCUCUUCCCUAUCAGGUCAUAUCUAGGGCCAUGGAGACUGUCGUAAGUCAACAUGGAAUUGAUAUGGAUGCAUUGCGAUCAUCACGAGUUCCAUUUGCCGGCGGUCCACAAGCAGUAGAUUCUAGUGGCGUUAUGUCUAAGGACAAGGAGAUCAUUGGUGGUCAGUCUUCCAUGGUUGGAAGUGAUGCAUCCCAGAGCAGCGGUCAAGCUGCAUUAUGGCAUUUGCCACCAGGUUCAGCAGAUAUGGCAAGGCCUGGGGUGUAUAUUCCAGGCAGGGUUCCAGCAGGACAAAAUAGGGGCGAUGUCGCAGGAUCUGAUAUUCAUCAAGGCUCCAUGUCGCAAAAGAGUGGCAGGUCCUCUGGAGUCGAAAGCCCUGCAAGUCUGCAAAUGGAGGACACUAGAUCUAUGAAUUCACAUGAUUCUUUGAAGUCUGAUGAAAAAACAAGCAAGAAAGCUUCCUCUUCCAAGAGAAAAAGGAUGGAUUCAAAAGCAGCAGGGGAUAUGCAAUCUGAAGAAAACUCAAAAUCAGAUGGUAUCUCAAGUGGACAAAAUAUUAGAAAAAGGAAACAGGUUGGCAAAGCUGGUGCACAAGGUCAGCCCUCCAGGGGAGCUGAGCCUGAGCAAUCACAUAUACUGCAAGGUGCUACUGCUCAGGUGCCACCCUUACCUGGUGGUGCAUCAUUUUUCAGGGCUCACCAGGAAGGUCCACCAGCUUCUGCUGGGAGGACUAUUGACAAUACUAAACCAUCAAACCCAUUCGCAAUGUCACAAGUUUCAAAUUUUGCUGAAGGGCUGGCUUCUGGUAGUAUCCCCACUGAGUUGCAGAAAAGUAUACUGGGAGGAACAAAUAUGUUUAACACUGGUUUUGGCUGGAAUCAGAGUUCACAAGGUUCAGCUAUUAAGAAUACUCAAGGUUCUGUUGCCAACUUAAUGCGGCCAGGAGUUAAUGUUGAAGGGAAAAUUAAUGUAGGGUCACAAGGAGCUUUUAACCCUACUCCCACAUCGCAGAUGGAUUUUCCCAAAAUCCCUCCUUACAUGUCUUCUUCCUUUGGAGGUGGCUCACAGUUUCUGGACAAGGGCAAGGACUCGGCUUCUGGCAAUACCGGCACUGAACUUCAUUCUGCUGCUAAAGUUGGAGUUAACAUGGGGAUUGUGCAUGGCAGUCCAAUGCAAGAAAGGCAAAAUAUUACCAGAGCACCACAGAGGGCCGAAUCAUCUUUGCAAGAAGCCAGAUUGUCUUCGCUCCCGAAUAGAAAUGUUGGGCCAUAUCAAACGUCUCACAUCUCUCCGAACACACCUUUCAAAGAACAACAGUUAAAGCAGCUCCGAGCACAGUGCUUAGUAUUUCUUGCAUUCAGAAAUAAUAUGCAGCCCAGAAAGGUGCACCUUGAAAUUGCCUUAGGUGGAGGCCCCACUGCAGAGGGUGGCGGUGCAGGUCAGGGAGGUAACGAGAGCAGAGUGGCUGAUGGUUCUGUAAGGGAAAACGGAAACAGUCAGGAAAACUCUGCUAUUUUCGGCAGCCAAAGUGAUAUGUCUAGACUCCCAUCCACAUCCGCAGGCAGCAUUGCAGAGGCUGAUUCUUCACUGAAGGACUCGGAAAUUAAGAAGAAGAUCAAUAUAGCUGAACAUGAGAAGUCAUCGAUGGAAAUAGAAAAUAUCCAGCAAGCUGUUAUGCAGGGAACUGGUUCAAGUUCUGAAAUGCGCUCCCAAGAAAUAGCAUCCCCUGUGCCAUCUGGACCACAGCAGUCAUACUUUCAGGGAGAUAAAAGAAGAAAUGCCCCUGAGACCUACAGGACGGAUGCAGAAAAUUUGAACAGGAAUUUAGGUUUCGGAGGCCAGGGACCAUCUUCUUUGGGUGGUAAUAGACAACAUCCAAAUUUUGAAGCUGCUGUUUUGACCAAAGAUCGAUUACAGGAUGAAGCAUCUAAAGAAUCAUAUCCACCUUCGAGGCUUCAUCACAUGCCUAUCGAUGGUUACAGCUCCAAUUUACCAGGAAAGGAUCUAACUCCAGAUACAGAUAGAAAUGAAGUUGAACAUUGUACCCAGAUGGGGGAGAUGUCUGAUCGAUCAGCUGAUGAAGGAGAUGACGAUCUAUUUGAGCAUGAUGAUUUUGCAUCAACUCCUCCAAAAUACACAAUGACUGAAAAAUGGAUCAUAGAUUAUCAAAAGAGAAAAUAUGGAGAAAAUGAAAAGAAGGUAUUAGAGCAGCAGAGCGCACAUAAAAGGAUGUCAGCAUCCUAUCAGAAGUUAAAGGAAAGUGUUAGUUCAUCUGAAGAUCUUACUGCAAAGACAAAGAGUGUCAUUGAAUUGAAAAAGCUUCAACUUCUCUCACUUCAACGUCGUGUGCGCAGUGAAUUCUUGUCAGACUUUUUCAAGCCUAAUACAGCUGAUUUGGAGCGUGUAAAAGCAGUAAAGAAACACCGGCAUGGACGCCGUGUGAAACAGCUUGAAAAAAUUGAACAGAAAAUGAAGGAGGAAAGGCAAAAAAGAAUACGCGAGAGGCAAAAAGAGUUCUUUGCUGAUAUAGAGUCUCACAGAGAGAGACUGGAGGAUAGUUUCAAGGCUAAAAGAGAGCGUCUAAAGGGUUUCAAUCGAUAUAUAAAAGAGUUCCACAAGAGGAAAGAGCGAAUUCAUCGGGAGAAGCUGGAUAGGAUCCAGCGGGAGAAAAUUAACUUGCUUAAGAACAAUGACGUCGAAGGGUAUCUUAGGAUGGUCCAGGAUGCAAAAUCUGACCGUGUUAAGCAACUACUACGAGAGACUGAGAAAUAUCUACAGAAACUUGGGGCCAAAUUACGAGGUGACAGCUCAAUGGACGGCCGUUCUUAUGUUUCUGGUAAGGGCGUCACUGCAAACGAUGUUGAAGACGAGAGCUACCAGCCACAGAAUUAUCUUGAGAGCAACGAGAAGUACUAUCAGUUGGCCCACAGUGUGAAGGAGAUUGUAAAUGACCAGCCUACUUAUCUUAAUGGUGGGAAGUUGCGGGAGUACCAGAUGAACGGUUUGCGUUGGCUGGUUUCAUUGUACAAUAAUAAUUUGAAUGGAAUUUUAGCUGACGAGAUGGGGCUUGGUAAAACAGUUCAAGUAAUCUCUUUGUUGUGCUACCUUAUGGAAACAAAAAAUGACCGGGGCCCAUUUCUUGUGGUUGUACCAUCCUCUGUUCUUUCUGGAUGGGUAUCUGAACUCAACUUCUGGGCACCUAGCAUAAAUAAAAUUGCUUAUUUUGGUCCUCCAGAAGAAAGGCGCAGACUGUUCAAAGAGAUGAUUGUUCAACAGAAGUUCAAUGUCCUUUUGACAACAUAUGAGUACUUGAUGAACAAACAUGAUAGGCCAAAACUAAGCAAAAUACAGUGGCACUAUAUAAUAAUCGAUGAAGGGCACCGUAUAAAGAAUGCGUCUUGUAAGCUCAAUGCUGAUCUGAAGCUUUAUCGGAGUUCUCAUCGGCUAUUGCUGACAGGAACACCUCUGCAGAAUAAUCUUGAGGAGCUGUGGGCACUUUUGAACUUUCUGUUGCCUAAUAUAUUUAACUCAUCCGAAGAUUUCUCUCAGUGGUUUAACAAACCAUUUGAAAGCAAUGGUGAUAACUCAGCUGAUGAGGCCUUACUUUCAGAGGAGGAAAACUUGCUGAUCAUAAACCGUCUUCACCAAGUUCUUCGGCCCUUUGUACUCCGAAGACUUAAGCAUAAGGUUGAAAGUGAAUUGCCAGGGAAGAUUGAAAGACUUGUAAGAUGCGAGGCAUCAGCUUAUCAGAAACUUCUGAUGACAAGGGUGGAAGACAACCUUGGUGGAAUUGGAGCAGUUAAGGUCCGCUCGGUGCACAAUUCUGUCAUGGAAUUGAGGAACAUAUGCAACCAUCCAUACCUUAGCCAGCUUCAUGUUGAGGAGAUUGAGGGUCAUCUACCUAGGCACUACCUGCCAUCUAUUGUGAGGUUGUGUGGGAAACUUGAGAUGUUGGACAGAUUGCUACCCAAACUCAAAGCUACUGGCCAUAGGGUUCUACUUUUUUCUACAAUGACAAGAUUGCUUGAUGUGAUGGAGGAUUAUCUGGUAUGGAAAAAGUAUCAGUACCUUCGGUUAGAUGGACACACUUCUGGGCAUGAGAGAGGAGCACUUAUUGAUAGAUUUAAUGAUCCUGAUUCUCCAGCUUUCAUUUUUCUGCUAAGUAUCCGAGCAGGAGGCGUUGGUGUCAAUCUUCAAGCAGCUGAUACUGUCAUCAUAUUUGAUACUGAUUGGAAUCCUCAGGUUGACUUGCAAGCACAGGCUAGAGCCCACAGAAUUGGUCAAAAGAAGGAGGUUCUUGUUUUACGUUUAGAAACUGUCCGAACUGUAGAAGAGCAAGUCAGGGCUUCGGCAGAACAUAAAUUAGGCGUUGCUAAUCAGAGUAUAACUGCUGGAUUUUUCGACAACAACACAAGUGCUGAAGAUCGGAGGGAGUAUCUUGAGUCACUUCUACGUGAGUGUAAAAAGGAAGAAUCAGCUCCAGUGUUAGAUGAUGAUGCUCUGAAUAAUAUUCUUGCCCGCAGCGAAGAUGAGAUCGACAUAUUUGAAUCUAUUGACAAGCAAAGACUAGAUGAUGAAAUGGCUGUAUGGCUAAAGGUUGUUCAGGAUGGUUCAGUUAGUGGGCUAGACCCCUCAGUAUUGCCACCCCGCCUUGUGUCUGAUGAUGAUCUGAAGCCCUUCUGUCAUGCUAUGAAGAUUUACGAGUCUUCAAAUGUAAAAAAUGUGAAGGUAAAUGUGAGGAAGAAGGGCGAGCUUGGCGGCCUUGAUACAAAGCAUUACGGAAGGGGAAAACGUGCUCGUGAGGUCCGGUCUUAUGAGGAUCAAUGGACCGAAGAAGAAUUUGAAAAACUUUGUCAGGCUGAAUCUCCUGACUCACCUCAACCUGGUGGUGUAUUGAAGGAUAUAGAUAUCUCUAAAGAGAGUAAGUUGGAGGUACCUGCAGAAAGUUCAAUAGACCCAAAAGAAAGUUCAAUAGAUCCAGUCGAAGCCAAAACGGUGCCAGUCCUGGCUGUUCCGGACUCCUCACCACCAGUCCCGUCUGUUCCAGACUCCUCACCAGCUAAGCGGCGAAGAGGUAGACCUAGAAGGUCAGACGUUUCAGUAUCUCCUGUUAUGUCCCCAGCAAAAGCUGUCCAACAAGAGGCAGGAACUACACUUGGCAGUUCUGCACCAGCAAGUACCAUCGAUUCUGCAGCACCAACUGCUACCAUCCAUUCUACUGGUCCAGAUGUUACCACCCAUUCUGCUGCACCUGUUGCUGCCAUCAAACCAGAUAUUGGUACAGAAGUUAAGGCUACUGCUUUUGUUGCUGCUGUACCAACUGCUACCAUGAAACCCGAGAUUGGUACUGAAGUUACGGACCAUGUUGUUUUGGAAGGGUCUAUAGCAAAGGAAGUUGGUCCGGCGGUAGAGAGCGGUCAUGACCCAGUAGCUGCCAGUGCAGCCCCUCAUCCACCAGCUCCUGCUACAUCUAGAGGCAGAAAGACCCAAGCAGUUGAAACCCCUCGCAGACGAGGCCGAAAACCAAAAUCUCUUUUCUCAUCUAGUGCUGGUGAUAUUAAUAUAAACCCUGUGGUUGCAAUUGGUAGUGGACCUGCUUCUGUGGGUUCUCCAUAUCCUCAAGGGGAUAUGCCUGCAAGUCUCAUGUCAAGAUUUCAGAAGGAUUUGGUUACAGGUAGGCCUGUUACGUCAUUGCCAGAGGGAGUUAAGGGCAUCUCCGCCCCUGAAAGUACGACGCCUGUUGCCGAAGAUAAACACACUGGAACUGCAAUAAGCUCGGACAAUGCCAACUUACUAAUGCCAAAGAUCAUUCACAAUGAAAAUGUUGGAUUUGUUCAAGCGAGCUCUGAGCAAGUUUUUUCUGCAUCAGUACCUACUUUAACUGCUGUCUCAGGUGGAAUAUUGAAAGCAUCACAUAUUCUCUUGGCAGAUAAGCCUGCCGAGAAGCAAAGUGCUUCACGCCGUCGCAGAAAGAAAGCGCCUGGUGGUGAGGAUACUGGAGUAAGCACUAGGCAAAGAGCAGCUAUGAAGAAAUCUGAUGGUAUUCCUGGUACCAAUGACAAUGUUGGUGCGGACAUGAGCACAGCUGAGAAGCUAGGAGCAGUGAAUGUAAAAGAUGGCAGUUCACUUCAAGAUACUCCCAAGGAAUUACCAAAUAUAAACUCUCCUCCAUAUGACAAGUCUGGGUAUGACUCUCAACCAAGAACACCUAUAGCAGUCCCCAUUAGUGAAGCUGCACUUCCUAGUGGUUCCGGUAAUGCCCAUGUUGCUUAUUCUGAUAUAACUCCUAGGAUACCUACCAAUCCUGAUGGUCAAGAUAAACCAGUAAAUCUGCACAUAGGAGCACCUCUAGCCGCAGCCUCACAACCUCAAGUGCCAUGUAAGACAGGGAACGACCAUGUUGCAGUGUGUUCUGUGGUCACUACCACACAUUCUGAAACGGUUACUGAAAAACCAUUGCUAAAUCCUGUUAGUGAACUAGCAAAUGUCCAGGUCGAACCACCUAGUUCUUCACUUAAUUCAGGUAAAAACAUCAGUACAGUGCCUUCAGAGGUCAAUAGUGUCGCUCCCAGUAAGGCAUCAGGUAGGAGGAGGAAAGGUCCUGCCUCUGAACCACGCACCAGAAGUAAAGCCGCAACAGCUGCAUGUGAACGUCGUGCUCGACUAGCUGGACCAAAGCAGACAGGUGAUGCGAGAAAAUUAGAAAUAUUGGCAAGCCCAAGCACGGCGGUUUGUGUUUCUUCAGUUGAGCAACAGGAAACCGCCCUGGCAGAGCCUCCCACCGCUUCUGUCUGCGAACCGCAGAAGAAUGCUGAGAGUCAUGUACGUGGUGGAAUGUCUACUCCGAUGGGGAUACUAGAUGCCCCAAAGCAAAUUGCUACCCAGUCAAUUACAGCAUGUACUGAAGAAACAAAUAGCAGUCUAAGCACUCAAACUCCUGCACUUCCCAUAUCCAGAGAAAGUAAUCUUUCCAUGGGUGACAAGCAAGGUGUUGGAGUUUAUACCAUACAUGGACAAACAAAGAUGGUUUUGGCUGCAGAACUGGCAUCUGCAAAUGAUGAACAUAAGCUGCAUGAAGUACAUGAUAAGACUGCUGAUGGUAAUAUACUCCAACACAGUGCUGCAAAUGACACACUCCAGGAUAAAACUGAUAGCAUUGCUGGUUUGGACCUAGCCUCUCGUCAUAGAAUUGGUGAUUUGGAAAUGGAGAAGGGUGAUUCUAAUACAGUGAUGUUACCAGACUGCCAAACCCCUUUUGAUGCCUCAGUUAAGGAUAUUAAGGAUACUCUUGCCCCCACAGAAGCUGAUGUCAGUGAUCUGCAAAGUGAGGCUGCUGCUAUUGAUGUGACUAGUCCUAAGCAAGAUACUAUGGUAGUUGAAGCACUGCACACUAAUUCCGGAGGUUCUGCUAGUCAUCUGCCUGCUGCUUUACAAUCAACGGACUCAAACCAGCAUGCAGAACGGAAAGGAAGUUCAGAGAACAGUGGCUCUAAAUUUUUUGCAUCUGGGAAGAAAACAGAGGAAAUGGAAGGAACUUUGGAUAAGAAUACGGAUAACAAUCUUAUUCAGGCAAAUGCCGAUAUAGCUUUAGGAAGACAUUCUCCUUCAGAGGACAAAAGAGAGGACAGUUGUGCCCAUGUAGUUGAUGGUGGCCUGUUGGGAAGCAAACAAACUCUUCUUGAAGUCGUUUCUGCUGUAAACACUGAUGGCUCUGAGGAAGCACUCAAUGCUUCGUCUACCCAUUCGAAUAAAGAUGCCACCUCGGUUUGUGAAGUAACAAAGGAUCCUGAGAGCCAUGUAAGAGUGUCUGUACUGGCCUCUGCUGCUAUGAACGCUCGUGAUGACUGUGAGGAAGUUCACAAUGUUCCAUCCACCCAUUCUGAUAGAGGGGGCAGCAUGGUAGAAGUUGAUGCGUCUAGAGAUGAUGCUACCUCUAUUUGCGAAGUAUGCAAGGAUCCUGAGAGUAAUGUAUCUGGUGAGUUGUCGAUGCCAGUAGGGUUAGCGGAGCUCGAGUUAGAACUGCCAAACCAAUCCAAAUCUUCUAGCCAGUCAAGCGCAGUAAAUGCUGAUGAAACAAAGGCCAGUAUCAACAUUCAGACUACUUCAUUGGUAGAAUCAGGAGAACAAAAAUCACCCAGAAAUGGUGCACAUGAGUUGAAAGAAGGGAUGGAGUUGGCCGGGCCUAAGAUUGAGUGCACAAUACUAAUGCCGAGUCCCGAUGAUAAGAGUUCUGAGGCUCAUAGUUUGGCACAACGGGAGAUGGUUUCGGGUGCAGAACAAGCAUCUAUGAAAGAUGAUAAAAGAAACAAGAUGGUUGAUGUUACAUUUUCGUCUGGUGAGGAACAAGAAAUACAGCGAGCUGAUGUAGACUUGCCCACUUGUCCAAGAUAUGCAGAUUGUGAGGGUGAAAAGGACCAUUCCCCUAAAACUAUUUUGGCAGGCAGCCAAUCUUUUUGUGAAGCCUCAGAUAAGGACGUUGCCCCAGUGAAAGAUGAUCACACUGAUCCGCAAAGUGAAGUUAAUGUUGUUGAUAUGAAUGGUGCCAACCAAGACUCAGCUGAAACCGAAGCUAUGCAGAUUGAUGGUGUCUCCAAAGGAUCUUCAAGUGAUUUGCCUGCUGCUUUACGAUCGACCGAUUCAAAUCAGCCGGCAGAACAAGAUGGAUUAGAGAAUAGUCCCUCUAUAUCUGCUUGUCCGAAAGAACAUGAGAAAUUGGAAGAAACUUCUGAUGAAAUUGGUGGUGGCAAUUCCAAUCGUAGUCGGACUGAUGGUGAUUCUCAUAUUAUGAAUCUAGUUGGUUAUUCGGAAGACUCAGAUGAGGACAAUUCUAUCCAGGUAGCUGAUGUUGGUGAUGUGGGAAGUAAAGAAACUACUCAUGAUGGCAUCUCAGCUGUCCCUAGAGGAGCAGAACCAGGAGAUGGACCCUGCACAGAGCCUACUUGUGAAACUGCUGUUCAUGUGCACGAAUUCAAUGUGGACGUUGCUAUUUCUGAGGAUGGUCAUGGCACAAUGGCCCUUGGCAGCGUCCAAGCGUCUACGACGGAACUAAAGGAUUUGGAGAGUGGAAGAUGUCUAGAACAUGGAACAGGAACCCCUGUGGCUCUUCAGGAGGGAACUGCUGUCGCUGCAGAACCAGAAGCAAAGAAAGAGGUCGACGAACCUAAAGAUGUUGAGCCGGCUGCCAUAAAGCCAGAGGCGGUGGAGCAUGAUGGUACAGAAGCCGAUCCAAGUAAAGAAGCAUCUAUACCUCCUCAAGAGGAAACCACUGCUGUAGCCUUGGUUACAGGACCGGAACAAAAUGAAGAAGCAGAUGCACCUACUCAAGUCAAACCAGUUGCUGUUAUACCUGGUACGGGACCAGAAGAGAAGAAAGUAGAGGCAUCCACCCAAGAGGAUAAUGCUGAAGCAGUUGCCGCAGAGCCAGAAUCUGCUAGAGCCCAGGAAAAUGCGGAAGCUUCUACUCAGCCUAGUCCUAUGGAGAUAGAGUCAGUUCAGGAAACAGCUAUGCUGGGAGAAGCUGAAACCAGGCAGCAACUGCCACUUCCGUCUGCCGAGGGUGUGGUGGCCGAGGCUAGUGAACCUCCAAGCAUAGAGGUGGCUGCUAUGAAGGAACCAGAGUUGCUGAGCACUGAACCAGCACCUGACGGUGAAAAUGCGAAGCUUGGAGAAGCCGAAGCUGAACAGCUGUUGCAGCAACCUUCAUCCUGCGAGGCUAUGGCAGUCACAGGAGAGCUUCCUAGCGCAGUCGGAGCGAAAACGGAUGGAACUUCAGACGUGGCAGCUGAUGAGUCUCCUGCUGUCGUGGGAGAGGAGGUGCUCAACACUGAAACUGCACCUGAUGGUGAAAAUCCAAGGCCGAGCGAGGCUGAUACGGCGCAGUCGCCACAUUUGCCCGAGGAGGGCAAGGCCGUUGCAGCUACCGAGCCUGCCAACCUUGAGAAGGCGGAGGCCAAUGAUGGAAAGUAG